CUCCUGGCUGCACUGGGGCGCCAUCCCCUUGGAGAGAGGGGCCCAGGCCGGCCCAUCACUGCACCUUCCCUCCUCCCUCCCGGAGCCUGGGGUGAGCCAGGAAGUGUCCGCUGUGUUCCGCAGGUGGUCAUAUGCCCUUCGCCCACGCUGGGUCCAUGCCAGGGUGGCCAAGGCCGGGGGCAGCGCCCGGACUAGGUCUGCUCACCCUGGGGGCGGCCAAGGAGCGGCCAGGGAAGUUUCUGAAGAGGGCCAAAGUGUGCCGGGCUCGGCCUCGCCGCUCUGCCCUUCUUGGAGUCGGGCCGGCGGCCAGGGCGGCUCGGGGGAAAGGGGCGUGCUCCAGGUGAGACGCCGCGCAAAGGCAAGGCGGCCGGACGGGGAAGCCGGGCUGGCAGGGGGACUCGAAGCAGCCUCCCUGGUUCGCAGCUCCCGGGCCCCGGGGACAGGGCCGGGGCGCGCUGCAGGAGAAGCCGAGCCUUGGACACUUCCCCAAGCGGCUCCGGGAUAGUUCAGCAAAAAUGCCACCUCCUAUAUGAAGCCUUUCCUGCUCUCUAGCCUCUCUAACCAUUGAUAAUGGAGCUAAAUGUGUGUCCAGUGAAAGGGGCCCUUUCCAGGGCAUUCCUGGGGACGCUUCAAGGGGAAUCAGAAAUGUUAGCUGCAGAAGAAUAGAGAGGAAUCGGAUGGACCCAGGAUGAAAACCUCUGGCCAAAAGGAACGUCUAGAUGGCACGAGAACGUGGCCUCUGCUGCUGUCACACUCUAAACUUCAUGCCGAAUCCCAGGAAACUAGGCAAGCCACGUUAAAAAAAAAAAACUGGAAAAUGAGUGGCUGCCCUUCGACUGGGGAAUGGCUGAACACAUUGUGGUAUCUGUUGGUGAUGGAAUAUUGUGCUCUAAGGAGUAAGGAACUGGAGGGAUUCCAUGUGAACUGGAAAGAGCUCCAGGAAGUGAUGCAGCGUGAAAGGAGCAGAACCAGGAGAACAUCGUACACAGAGAUGGAUACACUGUGGUACAAUCAAAUGUAAUAGACUUCUCUAUUAGCACCAAUUCAAUGACCCAGGACAAUUCUGAGGGACUUAGGAGAAAGAAUGUAUCCACAUUCAGAGGAAGAACUGUGGGAGCAGAAAUGCAGAAGGAAAACAACUGCUUGAUCACAUGGGUUGAGGGGGAUAGGAUUGGGGAUGUAGACUCUAAAUGAUCACUCUAGUACAAAUACCAAUAAUAUGGAAAUGGGACUUGAUCAAUGACAUGUAAAACCCAUUGGAAUUGCUCAUUGGCUACAAGUGGGGGGAGGAGGGGAGGAAAAGAACAUGAGUCAUGUAACCAUGGAAAAUAUUCUAAAUUAAUUAAUUAAAUAAAAACUUUCAAAUAAAUAAAAAAAUUUAAAUU
rnacentral:lncRNA from 1 species